rnacentral:lncRNA from 1 species
UGCUGUAUUCAAAAUCCCGUGAACAAAUUGGCGUGUUCAAUUGGAAAAAAAGCUAGUUGGAUUCAGUCAAGGGAGAUAGUGAUCGGAUAUAAACGACUCACACGGUUGAGGCCGUUAAUUCGAGUUUGAAUUUUCAGAUCGCAAGGCUGUCGAAGUAUUAAAUUACAGGUACGUGCCACGUGGUUGGAAAUUCGACAAGGGUCGAUUUGCAGUUGAUAUCGGGAUCGACUACGAGAGGAAGAGUUAGCGGUUUGAG